rnacentral:rRNA from 1 species
UACGAAGGGUGCAAACGUUGCUCGGAAUUAUUGGGCGUAAAGCGCACGUAGGCGGCUUUGCAAGUCCCAUGUGAAAUCCCUCGGCUCAACCGGGGAACUGCGUGUGGUACUGGCGGGCUUGAAUUCGGGAGAGGGAUGUGGAAUUCCAGGUGUAGCGGUGAAAUGCGUAGAUAUCUGGAGGAACACCGGUGGCGAAGGCGGCAUCCUGGACCGAGAUUGACGCUGAGGCGCGAAAGCUAGGGGAGCAAACGGG